ensembl:lncRNA
CACGCAAUAUGUUGCAGGUACAUGCUCAUUAUUGCCUAUUUUUUCUGACUGUUCUGCUUUUUAUACAUUUAGAUUUUAUUUACAUAAUUCUGCAGAAUAUGGUGCUUUACAGUUGACGGUUCUGCAGGCAUACAGCCCAAUUAGAAGCAUAACUGGCAGUAUCAAUUGGAAGUACAUAGUUCAGCUGAACAAUGUCCAAAAGAAAAGUGGACUACAUGCUGCCAACCGAGUCACAGAUAAGCAUGUGAACUUUGCUAAUCAGAAGAUGAAGGUCUCCCUGGCUGCUCAGACUUUGAGUAACUCUGUGGCAGUGGCGCUCCGCACCUUGCAGGACGUGGGCUAUGCAGAGUUCAAAGAUUGUGAGGCUACUUCUGAAUUAAUUAAGGUGGCUGGAAUAACAACCCUAAUGCCGGCCAGUUCAAAUACAUCUUAAGAAAGCUGAUGGCCCAGUGUGGAGUUGUUAAACCAUGCGGAGGCAAUGUGACUGCACAGGAUGAGACAGAGUCCCUAUCAGCGGUAAUCGACACCUCUACAAGCCUGUCAGCUGUAGAUAUGUCCUCUCUAGCAGGAGGAGAAGAUCUUCCAUCCCCGUUUGCUGACAUUCCUGCCCUAGUACAUGACCACAGCUACCUUCCCGUCCGCUACGAUGGUCUUGUGGACAACGCUCUCGUGUACAUUUCAG